rnacentral:rRNA from 1 species
UACAGAGGGUGCAAGCGUUAAUCGGAAUUACUGGGCGUAAAGCGUGCGUAUACGGUUAUGUAAGUCAGAUGUGAAAGCCCCGGGCUCAACCUGGGAAUUGCAUUUGAGACUGUGUAGCUAGGGUGCGGAAGAGGGAAGCGGAAUUUCCGGUGUAGCGGUGAAAUGCGUAGAUAUCGGAAGGAACACCAGUGGCGAAAGCGGCUUCCUGGUCCAGCACCGACGUUCAGGCACGAAAGCGUGGGGAGCAAACAGG